CCUACGGGGGGCAGCAGUGAGGAAUAUUGGACAAUGGGGGAAACCCUGAUCCAGCAACGCCGCGUGAGGGAUGAAGGUCUUUGGAUUGUAAACCUCUUUUCUCAGGGAAGAGAUAGGACGGUACCUGAGGAAUAAGUCACGGCUAACUACGUGCCAGCAGCCGCGGUAAUACGUAGGUGGCGAGCGUUAUCCGGAAUUACUGGGCGUAAAGCGCACGCAGGCGGCCAUUUAAGUCUGACGUGAAAGCUCCCGGCUUAACUGGGAGAGGUCGUUGGAAACUGGGUGGCUUGAGGCAAUGAGAGGGGUGUAGAAUUCCUGGUGUAGUGGUGAAAUGCGUAGAUAUCGGGAGGAACACCAGUGGCGAAGGCGGCAUCCUGGCCCUGUCCUGACGCUCAGGGGCGAAAGCGUGGGGAGCAAACCGGAUUAGAUACCCUUGUAGU
rnacentral:rRNA from 1 species